AUGGUCGCUGAGGCGGUGGGCUUCAUGAUGCCCCGCGCGGCGGACGGCGGCACCAUGGCGCCGGAGCUCGUCACCCGGGACUUCCUCGGCGGCUGCCAGGCGCCCGCCCCCGCCGCCGACGACCCCAGGCACGACGCCGCCGCCCUGCAGCCCGGCAAGCCACCGCUGCAGAAGCACCUCAGCCCGCCGCCGUCGGCCAGGGGGGACCUCAACCUCUUCCCCGCCGCCGGCGCCGCCAUGGCGCCGUUGCCGACGAUGGCGCCGGCGGCGGACUGCGCCGCCACCACCACGUACCACAGCGUUUGCACGAUCGAGAAGGUCAAGACCGCGCUGGAGCGGUUCGAGCGCGGCAAGCAGGGGCACCACCACCAGCAGCAGCAGCAGCAGCAGCAGCACAGCGGCGCGGGCGCGACCGCGGGCGCCUCCCCGUCCUCCUCCUCGGUCACCACCUCCUCCGUCAAGCGCCGCGGCGACGUUGCCGUGGAGCAGGGCGACGGCUGCGACUCCCCGUCCGCCAGCGCCGGCGGCGGGGGCAUGGUGGCCGCCGCCUGCCCGCGCUGCUUCCUCUACGUGCUCAUCGCCCGGAGCGACCCCCGCUGCCCGCGCUGCGAGUCGCACGUGCCGCCGCCCCCGGCACCGGCCCCCAAGAAGAAGCCAAGGAUCGACCUCAACGUCGGCUUCCUCGGCACCUAG
rnacentral:rRNA from 1 species